GGUAUGCGGUAUUGGUUUUCCGUAAAGAAUUGCCAAAGCAUUUAUUAGAUUAAACCAUCUACUAUGAAAGUAGUAAGACGAAUCUAGAUAACUUUGCUGAUCGUAUGGCCUUGUGCCGGCGACGUUUCAAUUGAGUUUCUGCCCUAUCAACUUGUUGGUAAGGUAUUGGCUUACCAAGGUUGCAACGGGUAACGGGGAAUCAGGGUUCGAUUCCGGAGAGGGAGCCUGAGAAACGGCUACCACAUCCAAGGAAGGCAACAGGCGCGCAAAUUACCCAAUCUAGACAGUAGGAGGUGGUGAAGAGAAUUACUAAGUGGUGGUUCAUUGAACUAUCAACUUGGAAUGAACGUAACUUAAGCAAUUCGAUGAGAAACAACUGGAGGGCAAGUCCUGGUGCCAGCAGCCGCGGUAAUUCCAGCUCCAGUAGUUUGCUUUAAAGUUGUUGCGUUUAAAACGCUCGUAGUUGGAUCACGCAGCAGUGUUCAGUAAUCUAUUCACAAGGAAGGUGAUGGUUGUGCUCGUCUCUGACGACGUAACUGAUCCUUACUUUGGUAGAUGUUUAAGCUGACCGCUGUUAAUUGCACGUGAGAUGGAUCGUUGACCUUUAAUGUGUCGGUAAUCCCGUCUUGCGGAGUGUGCCUUGAAUAAAACAGAGUGCUUAAAGCAGGCUUAUGCCUGAAUGUUAUAGCAUGGAACGAACAAUCGUGUCUACGUGCACAUUUCUCAUAUGAUGAUUGGCCUAUGGUUAGUUAUUGUUGGGAGUGUGUACAUCACCCACCAAAGUAUGGCUGUUGGUUCCAUAUACGGUGAUGAUUAACAGGAGCGGUUGGGGGCAUCAGUAUUUGGCCGCGAGAGGUGAAAUUCUUGGACCGGCCAAGGACUAACAAAUGCAAAGGCACUUGUCCAGACCGUUUCAUUAAUCAAGAACGAAAGUGGGAGGUUCGAAGACGAUCAGAUACCGUCCUAGUUCCCACUGUAAACUAUGCCGACCUGGGAUCAGUCUAGAGAUGUUACAAGCUCCAGAUUGGUCCCCCUGGGAAACCUCAAGUUUUUCGGUUACGGGGAGAGUAUGGUCGCAAGGCUGAAACUUAAAGGAAUUGACGGAGAUUGUUUUUGCUAGGC
rnacentral:rRNA from 1 species